UACGUAGGGUGCGAGCGUUGUCCGGAAUUAUUGGGCGUAAAGCGCGUGUAGGCGGCUUUGCAAGUCGGGUGUGAAAGCCCUCAGCUUAACUGAGGAAGUGCGCCCGAAACUGCAUGGCUUGAGUACCGGAGAGGAUGGUGGAAUUCCCGAAGUAGAGGUGAAAUUCGUAGAUAUCGGGAGGAACACCGGUGGCGAAGGCGACCAUCUGGACGGAUACUGACGCUGAGACGCGAAAGCGUGGGUAGCAAACAGG
rnacentral:rRNA from 1 species